rnacentral:rRNA from 1 species
CAAGACCAAAGAGGGGGACCUUCGGGCCUCUUGCCAUCGGAUGUGCCCAGAUGGGAUUAGCUAGUAGGUGGGGUAACGGCUCACCUAGGCGACGAUCCCUAGCUGGUCUGAGAGGAUGACCAGCCACACUGGAACUGAGACACGGUCCAGACUCCUACGGGAGGCAGCAGUGGGGAAUAUUGCACAAUGGGCGCAAGCCUGAUGCAGCCAUGCCGCGUGUAUGAAGAAGGCCUUCGGGUUGUAAAGUACUUUCAGCGGGGAGGAAGGUGCUGAGGUUAAUAACCUCAGCAAUUGACGUUACCCGCAGAAGAAGCACCGGCUAACUCCGUGCCUGCAGCCGCGGUAAUACGGAGGGUGCAAGCGUUAAUCGGAAUUACUGGGCGUAAAGCGCACGCAGGCGGUCUGUCAAGUCGGAUGUGAAAUCCCCGGGCUCAACCUGGGAACUGCAUUCGAAACUGGCAGGCUAGAGUCUUGUAGAGGGGGGUAGAAUUCCAGGUGUAGCGGUGAAAUGCGUAGAGAUCUGGAGGAAUACCGGUGGCGAAGGCGGCCCCCUGGACAAAGACUGACGCU